rnacentral:lncRNA from 1 species
AGUGCAGCCCCAAAGGGGAAGGUUUCUCAGCCAGCUGUCCUCCUGUGGAGCAGCAGCCAGUCCCCACAGGGCCCCUACACCAGAGCUCUUGGCUUUUUCCCUGCCAGCUCUUUUCCCACCUACCACUUCCUAGCACACAUCAUACUGCAGUGCCACACCAACCACUUGGCGAAAGAACCCGCUGGUGAGGACUGGGCAAAAAUCUCCCUAAAAAGAACUUGA